CGGUCACUGUAAAAGAGGAUGACAUCCAUCCAAGGAACCCUCCAAAGUUUGACAAAAUUGAGGACAUGGCCAUGAUGACCCACCUCAAUGAGCCUUGCGUGCUGUAUAACCUCAAAGAGCGUUAUGCAUCAUGGAUGAUCUACACCUACUCUGGGUUGUUUUGCGUUGUUGUGAAUCCGUACAAGUGGCUUCCUGUGUAUGAUGCGGUAGUUGUGGGAGCAUACAGAGGCAAGAAGAGGAAUUGAGGCACCACCCCA